rnacentral:rRNA from 1 species
AGUGAACGCUGGCGGUAGGCCUAACACAUGCCAGUCGAACGGCAGCACAGUAAGAGCUUGCUCUUACGGGUGGCGAGUGGCGGACGGGUGAGGAAUACAUCGGAAUCUACUUUUUCGUGGGGGAUAACGUAGGGAAACUUACGCUAAUACCGCAUACGACCUACGGGUGAAAGCAGGGGAUCUUCGGACCUUGCGCGAUUGAAUGAGCCGAUGUCGGAUUAGCUAGUUGGCGGGGUAAAGGCCCACCAAGGCGACGAUCCGUAGCUGGUCUGUGAGGAUGAUCAGCCACACUGGAACUGAGACACGGUCCAGACUCCUACGGGAGGCAGCAGUGGGGAAUAUUGGACAAUGGGCGCAAGCCUGAUCCAGCCAUACCGCGUGGGUGAAGAAGGCCUUCGGGUUGUAAAGCCCUUUUGUUGGGAAAGAAAAGCAGCAGGUUAAUACCCCGCUGUUCUGACGGUACCCAAAGAAUAAGCACCGGCUAACUUCGUG